rnacentral:tmRNA from 1 species
GGGGGCGACUGGCUUCGACGGGACCUGUGAAGCUGUGGCCGCGUGCCGAGGUCUCUGGAUCCUCGUAAAACCUUCGGAACGAUUCACAACUGCCAACUCUAACCUGGCACUGGCUGCGUAACUCUUAGGAGUUACUGCACCUGCUCUUAGAUCAGCCCUCCUGAGGCGGGUUUAAGAGUAUCGCAAAUUCGGGAUAGUCCGUUGUCGCGUCUUCAGGCGGCGGGCGAAAAUUUAGAAGACUUGUUCAGCAGUGGGCCGUCCACUGGCCAGCGGCUGGAGACAUCAAUCGGUGGACUACGCACGUAGAAGCUGUGGUGAAUCUAUUCUCGGACCGGGGUUCGAAUCCCCGCGCCUCCACUC